rnacentral:lncRNA from 1 species
GCCCACUGAAAUUCUUCAAACUAGCCAAUCCUAAACUAUUCACUCCGCCCCACCUUGCUUUUUCCACAGAAACCCCAAGGAAGGCUCUGGCCUAAGCCUUGCCCUCACUCCUGUCUCUGGCUCCUGACCACGCUAGUGUCUUCCCAUGUGGCCCUGCAAGGCAUGCUAUGCUUCCUGUCUCCAGAACCUAUGGAGGGGAAAGGAAGGAGGCCUAGGAGGGAGAUGCAAUCUCUGGGAACUGCUUCAGUGGCUGGAUGUGAAGUCGGUCACAAAUGACAUGAUGAUUUCAAAGUAG